UGUUUGGUCCAUUAUGUCCAUGGUCCAUCAUGUCCUGACACCUAUAAAUGUACACUAUUACUUCUAGAUAGUAGAUGGCCGGCAGAAAUAACCGAAACAUGUGGAUAGAAGGGAUAGGAGAUGAUGCGCUGUUAGCCGUUGGAGCCUUCUUUGGAAUGUUUAUUCCCUUGGUGCUGAUGGUUCAACAGAGGCAUCGAGACCAGCAAAUACAUCCGGAAAAUGUGCAACUAGCUGAGGAAACUCGGGAGGAAGUAAACCAUCAGAGAGCUGAAAAUCAGGCAUAAGAAUUGUCUUGGAAAGAGCAAACUUUUGGGAUCUGGUCAUGGAGCUUUGCCGUCCUUCAUCCAGAGCCUUCCACAGCGAUGGCAGAUAUAUUGCUGCUUGGAUCAACUCUUGACCAUGCCGUUGAGUCCAGGAUCACAGUAGCAGCCAUGACAACAUCAACAGAAUGACAUCUGCCUAUGGAUGCAUACAUUUUGCACCUCUUCCUUGUGCUGUCAGAUUGAAACGUCUCUACUCUGGCAGAAGGAAGUGAAUGAAUCCCCAGGAUUGUUCCUCCGGAAAAUCUCUUCAACCGGCUGUUGACAGUUUGCAUGCUCUUUGGAUGGAAUUACCUUAGCUUGGCUUGCAGAGAAUCUGUUAUGUAAAAAAACUGGGCUGCUUUGUGUUAUUGAUUUAUUGACCUUAAAUGUAUUUUAUAUGUAUUUUGCCACUAUUGUAAAAAAACAAUGGGCAUAUAUGCACUAGCAUAUGUUUGCAAACAGACACAUUUUAUUUUUGUAAAUAACUUGAAAAUACAUUUUGUAAGUUGACCUCAGACCAUGAAAGAUUAAUGGUAGGUUAUCUUUGACCAGAACAUGACCAGUAUUGUUUUUGAAGUUUGUUGGUCAAAGGUGAUGGUCAUGGCAAACAGUGGUUAUUCUGCACAAUGACUCUUUAAUUCUUUAACCUUAUACCAUUGAUAUUUAGUGAUUGAUAUAUCAGUCCAAAACAUAUGUAACAGGGUCCUGCUAAAAUUCAGCAAGAACUUAUUAGCAUUGCAAAUCAUUAUUUGUGCAUGUAACUGUAAAUACUAUUACGCUUUGUGUCAGAAACUUGACCAUCACAAAUUAGGGUCAUUGUUGAUCUUAUCUUGUUUCAUUAUUUUGCAUGUUUUGUCACAAAAGCAUCCUUCAUUUAAGAUUAAACAAUACAACAGAUCUCAAUUGUGUGAAAAACUGCUGAAAAUUUUAAUUUUCUUAAAGCGUCUAUAAGUAACUUUUGUAGCCAUAAAACAUCGAUUAUCAAUUCAAGGGGGUGAAAGCAAAAAGGUUCUAUCUGCUUCUUUAUUUAAUGUCACUUAGAACAUUUUUGCAUUCACCCCAUCUUAUUGGAAAAACUAUCUGAUCUUUUGACAGCAAUCAUAUAUAUCACUGUUUUCUAGACAUCUAGCAAAUAUACCUCAUUUCAAGACAAUAAAGAUGUCAAAUCAGUCGAUCCGGCUGUGAGAGAGCAGCUUUACACAAAGACUAUUUGAUAUGUUAUGUUAUG